GAAUAGAUAAUAAACGCAAGCAACUGUACUUUCUUGAAGAGCUGAACAUAAUAAUUGAUAAAUCUACAGCGUUUGUGUUAUAUAACUCAUUUUC